CCUCAGGUUUUUGGAGGAAGGUUCGUCCGCUCCAAGUUAGGCGGGAGCUAAGGUGAGGCCGAAAGGCGUAGCCGAUGCACAGACGGUAGAGAUUCCGUCCCCACCGAAAGAUUUAAGCGCAGGGACACUUUUAGAAGGUCGGAGCCAGGUGUUGGUUCUGGUAGUGAUCGAGGGAAAUAUAGUACCGAAGUCCGGCUGGAAGAGAGGCGAGAAAAGCUGUGUGUAUAUCUAAGGUGCCCGUACCGCAAACCGACACAGGUAGGUAGGAAGAAGAUUCUAAGGCCAACGGGAGAAGGGUUGUUAAGGAACUCGGCAAGUUGACCCCGUAACUUCGGAAUAAGGGGUGCUCACGAGAGUGAGCCGCAGAGAAUAGGCCCAGGCAACUGUUUACCAAAAACACAGGUUUGUGCUAAAUCGAAAGAUGACGUAUACGAGCUGACGCCUGCCCGGUGCUGGAAGGUUAAAAGGAGAUGUGCAAGCAUUGAAUUGAAGCCCCAGUGAACGGCGGCCGUAACUAUAACGGUCCUAAGGUAGCGAAAUUCCUUGUCAGGUAAGUUCUGACCCGCAUGAAAGGCGUAAUGAUCUGGGCACUGUCUCAACAGCCCGCCCGGCGAAAUUGUAGUACCGGUGAAGAUGCCGGUUACCCGCGACAAGACGGAAAGACCCCAUGGAGCUUUACUGUAGCCUGAUAUUGGGUUUCGGUGUUGCAUGCACAGGAUAGAUGGGACACUGGGAAGCGGAUGCUUUGGCGUUCGUGGAGUGGACGUUGGGAUACCAUCCUUGCGACAUUGGAAUUCUAACCUGCGCCUCUGAAUCGAGGCGGGGGACAUUGUCAGGUGGGCAGUUUGACUGGGGCGGUCGCCUCCUAAAAAGUAGCGGAGGCGUUCAAAGGUUCGUUCGAUCUGGACGGAAACCAGAUGAUUGAGUGCAAACGCAUAAACGAGCCUGACUGCGAGACUGACGGGUCGAGCAGAGACGAAAGUCGGAGUUAGUGAUCCGGUGGUAUGUGAGUGGAAAUGCCAUCGCUCAACGGAUAAAA
rnacentral:rRNA from 1 species